UACAGAGGGGGCAAGCGUUAUUCGGAAUUAUUGGGCGUAAAGAGCGUGUAGGCGGCUUGGUAGGUCUGCUGUGAAAACUCGGGGCUCAACCCCGAGACGUCGGUGGAAACCAUCUGGCUAGAGUCCGGAAGAGGAGAGUGGAAUUCCUGGUGUAGCGGUGAAAUGCGCAGAUAUCAGGAGGAACACCGGUGGCGAAGGCGGGUCUCUGGGCCGUAACUGACGCUGAGGAGCGAAAGCGUGGGGAGCGAACAGG
rnacentral:rRNA from 1 species